rnacentral:rRNA from 1 species
GACGAACGCUGGCGGCGUGCUUAACAAAUGCAAGUCGAACGGACAGGCCCUGCUUUUGUUGGUUUCUCGAGUGGCGCACAGGUGAGUAACACGUGAGUAACCUCCCCUUAACUUUGUGAUAUCUUUUCGAAACUGGGGCUAAUACCGCAUAUGAUCUCUUGCCGCAUGUUGGUCGUUAGUAAGUUUCGGCGGUUGGGGCUGUACUCGCGGCUUAUCCGCUUGUUUGUCUGGUAGUGGCUGACCAAGGGUUUGACGGCUAGCCUGCCUGAGAGGGUGAACGGCCACAUGGGGACUGAGGGACGGCGCAGAAGCCUACGGGAGGCAGCAGGGGGGAAUAUGGCACAAUGGGCGGAAGCCUGAUGCAGCAACGCCGGGUGCGGGAUGACGGGCUUCGGGUGGUAAACAGCUGUCGCCGGUGACGAAGCGUGAGUGACGGUAAUGGGUAAAGAAGCAACGGCUAACUACGUG